AUACUUACCUGGCAGGGGAGAUACCAUGAUCAUGAAGGUGGUUCUCCCAGGGUGAGGCUUAUCCAUUGCACUCCCGAUGUGCUGACCCCUGCGAUUUCCCCAAAUGUGGGAAACUUGACCGCAUAAUUUGUGGUGGGGGGCCCAUGUUCGUGCUUUCCCCUG
rnacentral:snRNA from 1 species